ACGAACGCUGGCGGCGUGCCUAACACAUGCAAGUCGAACGGGAAUAUUCGAAGUACUUGUACAUUGAAUAUUCUAGUGGCGGACGGGUGAGUAACACGUGAGCGACCUGGCUUUCAGAGGGGGAUAACAGUUGGAAACAGCUGCUAAUACCGCAUAAGACCACAGAGGUGCAUGCCUCAGAGGUAAAAGGAGCAAUCCGCUGAAAGAUGGGCUCGCGUUCCAUUAGCUAGUUGGUGAGGUAACGGCUCACCAAGGCGACGAUGGAUAGCCGACCUGAGAGGGUGAUCGGCCACACUGGAACUGAGACACGGUCCAGACUCCUACGGGAGGCAGCAGUGGGGAAUAUUGGGCAAUGGAGGCAACUCUGACCCAGCAACGCCGCGUGAGGGAAGAAGGUUUUCGGAUUGUAAACCUCUGUCCUUGGGGACGAAGGAAGUGACGGUACCCGAGGAGGAAGCCCCGGCUAACUACGUGCCAGCAGCCGCGGUAAUACGUAGGGGGCGAGCGUUGUCCGGAAUUACUGGGCGUAAAGGGUGCGUAGGCGGUAUGAUAAGUUAGAUGUGAAAUCCCCGGGCUUAACUUGGGAGUUGCAUUUAAAACUGUCAUACUAGAGUGCAGGAGAGGAAAGCGGAAUUCCUAGUGUAGCGGUGAAAUGCGUAGAUAUUAGGAGGAACACCAGUGGCGAAGGCGGCUUUCUGGACUGUAACUGACGCUGAGGCACGAAAGCGUGGGGAGCAAACAGGAUUAGAUACCCUGGUAGUCCACGCCGUAAACGAUGGAUACUAGGUGUAGGUACCUAACAAGGUUUCUGUGCCGGAGCAAACGCAAUAAGUAUCCCGCCUGGGGAGUACGACCGCAAGGUUGAAACUCAAAGGAAUUGACGGGGGCCCGCACAAGCAGCGGAGCAUGUGGUUUAAUUCGAAGCAACGCGAAGAACCUUACCAAGGCUUGACAUCCUCUGACGUACAUAGAAAUAUGUAUUCCCUUCGGGGCAGAGAGACAGGUGGUGCAUGGUUGUCGUCAGCUCGUGUCGUGAGAUGUUGGGUUAAGUCCCGCAACGAGCGCAACCCCUAUCAUUAGUUGCCAGCACGUUGAGGUGGGAACUCUAAUGAGACUGCCGGGGAUAACUCGGAGGAAGGUGGGGACGACGUCAAAUCAUCAUGCCCCUUAUGUCUUGGGCUACACACGUGCUACAAUGGUCGGUACAAAGGGAAGCGAGACGGUAACGUGGAGCAAAUCUCAAGAAAACCGAUCCCAGUUCGGAUUGUGAGCUGCAACCCGCCCACAUGAAGUUGGAGUUGCUAGUAAUCGCGAAUCAGCAUGUCGCGGUGAAUGCGUUCCCGGGCCUUGUACACACCGCCCGUCACACCAUGGGAGUUGGGAGCGCCCGAAGCCGAUGGCCUAACCGCAAGGAAGGAGUCGUCGAAGGCGAGACCAAUGACUAGGGUG
rnacentral:rRNA from 1 species